rnacentral:rRNA from 1 species
UACAGGGGGUGCAAACGUUGUCCGGAAUCAUUGGGCGUAAAGCGCGCGUAGGUGGCUUCGUAAGUCCGUUGUGAAAGUCAAAGGCUCAACCUUUGAAAGCCGAUGGAUACUGUGAAGCUAGAGUACGGAAGAGGCGAGUGGAAUUCCUGGUGUAGCGGUGGAAUGCGCAGAUAUCAGGAGGAACACCAAUAGCGAAGGCAGCUCGCUGGGACGUUACUGACACUGAGGCGCGAAAGCGUGGGGAGCGAACAGG